CAAGUGCUGCCGGGUGUUGGAGAAGUAGUUUGGUUCUGAUGUAGAUGGAUAAUACAGGAUCUAGUGGGAGAUGGCAUUGGACUGGGAAGGGACAUAUGUGACCCCAAUAAUUCUGGAGAUGACACUCCUGGUCAUUUUCUUCUCUGUCCAUGGGAGGUGAGAGGCAGAGUCCCUGUCCCAGCACAGAAGAUCAUCCUGGGGCAGAGAGAGCCCAUGGGAUAGUGGAGGGGAUACUAGUA
rnacentral:lncRNA from 1 species